rnacentral:rRNA from 1 species
GAUGAACGCUGGCGACGUGCUUAACACAUGCAAGUCGAACGGUGAAGGCGGAGCUUGCUCUGCUGGAUCAGUGGCGAACGGGUGAGUAACACGUGAGCAAUCUGCCCCUGACUCUGGGAUAAGCGCUGGAAACGGCGUCUAAUACUGGAUACGAGCUGCGAAGGCAUCUUCAGCAGCUGGAAAGAACUUCGGUCAGGGAUGAGCUCGCGGCCUAUCAGCUUGUUGGUGAGGUAACGGCUCACCAAGGCGUCGACGGGUAGCCGGCCUGAGAGGGUGACCGGCCACACUGGGACUGAGACACGGCCCAGACUCCUACGGGAGGCAGCAGUGGGGAAUAUUGCACAAUGGGCGAAAGCCUGAUGCAGCAACGCCGCGUGAGGGACGACGGCCUUCGGGUUGUAAACCUCUUUUAGCAGGGAAGAAGCGAAAGUGACGGUACCUGCAGAAAAAGCGCCGGCUAACUACGUG